GACGAACGCUGGCGGCGUGCUUAACACAUGCAAGUCGAACGGAAAGGCCUCUUUCGUGGUGUUCUCGCGUGGCGGACGGGUGAGUAACACGUGAGUAACUUGCCCUUGUCUUUGGGAUAACUUCAUGAAACUAGGGCUAAUACCUACUAGGAGCUCCUUCUGCCUGGUUGGGGUUGGAAAGUUUCGGCGGUUUGGGAUGGCCUCUCGGCUUAUCCGCUUGUUGGUGGGGGAGUGGCUUACGAAGGCUUUGCCGGGUAGCCGGCCUGAGAGGGUGACCGGCGACAUGGGGACUAAGGGACGGACCAGAAGGCUACGGGACGCAGCAGGCGGGAAUAUUGCAGAAUGGGGGGAAGCCUGAGGCAGAAACGUCGGGUGCGGGAUGACGGCCUUCGGGGGAAAAACCGCUGUCGAAGAUAACGAAGAUUUGUGUAACGGUAGUGGGUAAAGAAGCACCGGCUAACUACGU
rnacentral:rRNA from 1 species